GACGCCAGCGACCGUCGCUGCCGUCGCGGAUCACCAGGAAGCCACCGCCACCGUCGCGCCUCGGAUAUGUCGCGGAUCACCGGGACGCGGCCGUCGCGGAUCAGGAACACCAGGACACCACCGGCGGCGGCCCCUUGGAUACCGGCGACCGGCGGCGAUCUGAGACCAACGAGUCGGCACCACACCCCUGGUAGAGAUGAUGCUGCGGAUGGGAUGGGAAGAUGCGUGUGUGCUAGCUGCCAUUGCAGGGACUUUUUAUUUUUCGGAUAGUUCAGCGUCUUAUUACGAAUCUGAUAGUGCUAUCUGCCACACAUACACCAUGUUACAAAUCUAUUUACAUGCGACUCAGAGAAAGAAUUGCUUUGCAGGUUGCCAACAUCACGAAUUUCAUACUUAUGGAGUGGAGCCACCAAACUAUUUAUGAGGAAAUAUGUUGAAGCACUGAAUAUAUUCCAUUUGCAGUGGACAAACAGAACAACACAACACAUAAGCAGAGGAAAGACAUGGUUGCUCUUGCUUCAUCUAAAUAGGCCGUCUGGAAUGCCAUGAGACCAGGUUGUACUAUCAUUUUGAAUUUGUUUACUAACACCACAACUACCACAUCCUCGCUAAACGACAGAGGUUGCUAGCAACUGCACGUGGAAAGAUUGAAUGUGAUAUUCUGUCUACUAAUCA